UGCCAGCAGCCGCGGUAAUACGGAGGGUGCAAGCGUUGUUCGGAAUCACUGGGCGUAAAGCGCGUGUAGGCGGCUGGCUAAGUCUGGUGUGAAAGUCCGGGGCUCACCCCCGGAAGUGCGCUGGAAACUGGUCAGCGAGAGUAUGGGAGAGGGAAGCGGAAUUCCUGGUGUAGCGGUGAAAUGCGUAGAUAUCAGGAGGAACACCGGCGGCGAAGGCGGCUUCCUGGACCAAUACUGACGCUGAGACGCGAAAGCGUGGGGAGCAAACAGGAUUAGAUA
rnacentral:rRNA from 1 species